rnacentral:rRNA from 1 species
UGGCGAACGGGUGAGUAACACGUGGGUGAUCUGCCCUGCACUUCGGGAUAAGCCUGGGAAACUGGGUCUAAUACCGGAUAUGACCACAUGAUGCAUGUCGUGUGGUGGAAAGCUUUUGCGGUGUGGGAUGGGCCCGCGGCCUAUCAGCUUGUUGGUGGGGUCACGGCCUACCAAGGCGACGACGGGUAGCCGGCCUGAGAGGGUGACCGGCCACACUGGGACUGAGAUACGGCCCAGACUCCUACGGGAGGCAGCAGUGGGGAAUAUUGCACAAUGGGCGCAAGCCUGAUGCAGCGACGCCGCGUGAGGGACGACGGCCUUCGGGUUGUAAACCUCUUUCAGCACAGACGAAGCGCAAGUGACGGUAUGUGCAGAAGAAGGACCGGCCAACUACGUGCCAGCAGCCGCGGUAAUACGUAGGGUCCGAGCGUUGUCCGGAAUUACUGGGCGUAAAGAGCUUCGUAGGUGGUUUGUCGCGUUGUUCGUGAAAACUCACCAGCUCAAACCUGUGGGCGUGCGGGGCGAUACGGGCAGACUAGAGUACUGCAGGGGAGACUGGAAUUCCUGGUGUAGCCGGUGGAAUGCGCAGAUAUCAGGAGGAACACCGGUGGCGAAGGCGGGUCUCUGGGCAGUAACUGACGCUGAGGAGCGAAAGCGUGGGGAGCGAACAGGAUUAGAUACCCUGGUAGUCCACGCCGUAAACGGUGGGUACUAGGUGUGGGUUUCCUUCCUUGGGAUCCGUGCCGUAGCUAACGCAUUAAGUACCCCGCCUGGGGAGUACGGCCGCAAGGCUAAAACUCAAAGAAAUUGACGGGGGCCCGCACAAGCGGCGGAGCAUGUGGAUUAAUUCGAUGCAACGCGAAGAACCUUACCUGGGUUUGACAUGCACAGGACGCUGGUAGAGAUAUCAGUUCCCUUGUGGCCUGUGUGCAGGUGGUGCAUGGCUUGUCGUCAGCUCGUGGUCGUGAAGAUGUUGGGUUAAGUCCCGCAACGAGCGCAACCCCUAUCUUAUGUUGCCAGCGCGUCAUGGCGGGGACUCGUAAGAGACUGCCGGGGUCAACUCGGAGGAAGGUGGGGAUGACGUCAAGUCAUCAUGCCCCUUAUGUCCAGGGCUUCACACAUGCUACAAUGGCCGGUACAAAGGGCUGCGAUGCCGUGAGGUGGAGCGAAUCCUUUAAAGCCGGUCUCAGUUCGGAUCGGGGUCUGCAACUCGACCCCGUGAAGUCGGAGUCGCUAGUAAUCGCAGAUCAGCAACGCUGCGGUGAAUACGUUCCCGGGCCUUGUACACACCGCCCGUCACGUCAUGAAAGUCGGUAACACCCGAAGCCGG